rnacentral:rRNA from 1 species
AUUGAACGCUGGCGGCAGGCCUAACGCAUGCAAGUCGAGCGGAUGAGGGGAGCUUGCUCCCUGAUUUAGCGGCGGACGGGUGAGUAAUGCGUAGGAAGCUGCCCGAUAGAGGGGGAUACCAGUUGGAAACGACUGUUAAUACCGCAUAAUGUCUACGGACCAAAGUGUGGGACCUUCGGGCCACAUGCUAUCGGAUGCGCCUACGUGGGAUUAGCUAGUUGGUGAGGUAAUGGCUCACCAAGGCGACGAUCUCUAGCUGGUUUGAGAGGAUGAUCAGCCACACUGGAACUGAGACACGGUCCAGACUCCUACGGGAGGCAGCAGUGGGGAAUAUUGGACAAUGGGCGCAAGCCUGAUCCAGCCAUGCCGCGUGUGUGAAGAAGGCCUUCGGGUUGUAAAGCACUUUCAGCGAGGAGGAAGGGUGGUGUGUUAAUAGCACAUCAUUUUGACGUUACUCGCAGAAGAAGCACCGGCUAACUCUGUGCCAGCAGCCGCAGUAAUAC